UUUCCGUAGGUGAACCUGCGGAAGGAUCAUUAUUGUAUAACCGAGGUGCGAGGGCUGUCGCUGACCCGAAAGGUCGUGCACGCCCGAGUGCCCUCACACAGAUCCAUCUCACCCCUAUGUGCACCACCGCGUGGGUCCCCCUUUGGCUUGUUCGGAGGGGGGCUUACGUUUUCACACAAACUUUGUAUGCAGUGUAGAAUGUAUUUUUGUUUUUGCGAUCACGCAAUCAAUACAACUUUCAACAACGGAUCUCUUGGCUCUC
rnacentral:misc_RNA from 1 species